rnacentral:ncRNA from 1 species
GAAUAACAGACGGUUUUCUCCUUUGCGAGAAAUUAAAAGGGAAUUGGGUUAGACUCCCAAGCAACAGCCAUUACCGUAUUUGAUGAAGAAAAAUCAUCAGCCAUUGGGAAACCGAGAAGGCGAUUUUUUAAGCAAUGCUAUAUCAUAAGUCGGGAGACCUGCCGCAAACUUA